AACGAACGCUGGCGGCAGGCUUAACACAUGCAAGUCGAACGCCCCGCAAGGGGAGUGGCAGACGGGUGAGUAACGCGUGGGAACAUACCCUUUUCUACGGAAUAGCUCUGGGAAACUGGAAUUAAUACCGUAUACGCCCUACGGGGGAAAGAUUUAUCGGGGAAGGAUUGGCCCGCGUUGGAUUAGCUAGUUGGUGGGGUAAAGGCCUACCAAGGCGACGAUCCAUAGCUGGUCUGAGAGGAUGAUCAGCCACAUUGGGACUGAGACACGGCCCAAACUCCUACGGGAGGCAGCAGUGGGGAAUAUUGGACAAUGGGCGCAAGCCUGAUCCAGCCAUGCCGCGUGAGUGAUGAAGGCCUUAGGGUUGUAAAGCUCUAUCACCGAUGAAGAUAAUGACGGUAGUCGGAGAAGAAGCCCCGGCUAACUUCGUG
rnacentral:rRNA from 1 species